rnacentral:rRNA from 1 species
AGUGAACGCUGGCGGUAGGCCUAACACAUGCAAGUCGAACGGCAGCACAGUAAGAGCUUGCUCUUACGGGUGGCGAGUGGCGGACGGGUGAGGAAUACAUCGGAAUCUACUUUUUCUUGGGGGAUAACGUAGGGAAACUUACGCUAAUACCGCAUAUGACCUACGGGUUAAAUCAGUGGAUCUUCGGACCUUGCGCGACUGAAUGAGCCGACGUCGGAUUAGCUAGUUGGCGGGGUAAAGGCCCACCAAGGCAACGAUCCGUAGCUGGUCUGAGAGGAUGAUCAGCCACACUGGAACUGAGACACGGUCCAGACUCCUACGGGAGGCAGCAGUGGGGAAUAUUGGACAAUGGGCGAAAGCCUGAUCCAGCCAUACCGCGUGAGUGAAGAAGGCCUUCGGGUUGUAAAGCCCUUUUGUUGGGAAAGAAAAGCAGCAGGUUAAUCCCCCGCUGUUCUGACGGUACCCAAAGAAUAAGCACCGGCUAACUUCGUG